GCCGCGACCCGUUGCCGGGGACGUCGAAGGCCCGGGCGGACUGGUACCCCGACGUCGUGCGUUCGCGCCGACGAAGGGGGAAACCUCCGGUGUCCUGGCUGCCCUGCGACGGUCGUGCAGCAGAGGAGCAAUGCAUCUCUCUCUCGCGGCGUGCAAAAGGUCGGUGACCCACCCGACCCGUCUUGAAACACGGACCAAGGAGUCUAACAUGUGUGCGAGUCAUUGGGCGCACUAAACCCAGAGGCGAAAUGAAAGUGAAAGGGGGGCGCGGUCUCGGCCGUGCUCUCCGGGGCCGAUCCCCGACCGGCUGUUGCCGCCAGAGUUCCCAUACCAAAGCGAGGUUACCUAAAGGGGGUUUGAAGGCGGGGUGAGUCCCUUUCCCCCGCCUGCCUCUGGCCUCGUGGGUUCUCGGCGCGCACGACGGUCCGGCUCCUUCACGGGAGUCGCUCGUACGCGGGGGGGCGCAGGCCCGGGACUUGCCAUUCGACGCCGCGCGCAAAUCUGUUGUUGGCCUCGCCGGCUUUGCUUGGGCUCUCGGUUGGCGCGCCGCGUGUCAGGCGGGCUUCGGGCGGGGGUCUCGUGCCCUCGUUCGGGUUCGUCCCGCGCGGUUUUGCCUUCCG
rnacentral:rRNA from 1 species